rnacentral:rRNA from 1 species
AUUGAACGCUAGCGGCAGGCCUAACACAUGCAAGUCGAGCGAGCGGCGGACGGGUGAGUAAUGUAUGGGGACUGCCCGAUAGAGGGGGAUAACUACUGGAAACGGUGGCUAAUACCACAUACUGUCGGAUAACCCAUAUGGGAUUAGCUAGUAGGUAAGGUAAUGGCUUACCUAGGCGACGAUCCCUAGCUGGUAUGCGAGGAUGAUCAGCCACACUGGGAUGGGGACACGGCCCAGACUCCUACGGAGUCAGCAGUGGGGAAUAUUGCACAAUGGGCGCAAGCAUGAUGCAGCCAUGCCGCGGGUAUGAAGAAGGCCCUAGGGUUGUAAAGUACUUGCAGUCGGGAGGCGUUACCGACAGAAGAAGCACCGGCUAACUCCGUGCCAGCAGCCGCGGUAAUAC